rnacentral:rRNA from 1 species
AGGUUAAGUUAAUAAGGGCGCAUGGUGGAUGCCUUGGCACUAGAAGGCGAUGAAGGACGUGACUAACUACGAUAUGCCUCGGUUAGCUGUAAGUAAGCUUACCCGGGGGUUUCCGAAUGGGGCAACCCGAUCUUAAUGAUCAUCAUCUUUUUGAAUUCAUAGAUUAGAUGAAGCAAACGCUGUGAACUGAAACAUCUAAGUAGCAGUAGGAAAGUAAAGAAAUUUCGAUUCCGUCAGUAGCGGCGAGCGAACGCGGAAGAGCCCAAACCUGGAUGCUUGCAUCCAGGGGUUGUAGGACUGAUGUUGAGUUACAAAGGUAUAAGAUAGCAGAAACAGUUGGGAAGCUGUUCCAAAGAGGGUGACAGGCCCGUAUGCGAAAUCUUGUACUCUCUAAUCAGGAUCCUGAGUACGGCCCAGCACGUGAAAUUGGGUCGGAAUCUGGGAGGACCAUCUCCCAAGGCUAAAUACUAACUAGUGACCGAUAGCGAACAAGUACCGUGAGGGAAAGGUGAAAAGAACCCCGGAAGGGGAGUGAAAUAGUUCUUGAAACCGUGUGCUUACAAGA